CCUCGGUUCUAUUUUGUUGGUUUUCGSAACACGAGGUAAUGAUUAAGAGGGACWSACGGGGGCAUUCKUAUUGCGACGCUWGAGGUGAAAUUCUUGGACCGUCGCAAGACGAACUACUGCGAAAGCAUUUGCCAAGAAUGUUUCCAUUAAUCAAGAACGAAAGUUAGAGGUUCGAAGGCGAUCAGAUACCGCCCUAGUUCUAACCAUAAACGAUGCCAGCCAGCGAUCCGGCUGUGUUCCUCAAAUGACACGCCGGGCAGCUUCCGGGAAACCAAAGCUUUUGGGUUCCGGGGGAAGUAUGGUUGCAAAGCUGAAACUUAAAGGAAUUGACGGAAGCGCACCACCAGGAAUGGAGCCUGCGGCUUAAUUUGACUCAACACGGGAAAGCUUACCCGGAUAGGACACAGGAAGGAUUGACAGAUUAAGAGCUCUUUCUUGAUUCUGUGGAAGGUGGUGCAUGGCCAUUCUUAGUUGGUGGAGUGAUUUGUCUGGUUAAUUCCGAUAACGAUCGAGACUCUAGCCUACUAAAUAGACGUUCCGAUUCUUGUUGUCGGACGUUYUUCUUAGAGGGACACGCGGSGUUUASCCGCACGAGACAGAGCAAUAGUAGGUCUGUGAUGCCCYUAGAUGUMCGRGGSCGCACGCGCGYUACAUURAAGGAAUMAGCGUGUGCUUUCCCUGUYCGACARGACUGGGKAAMCCGUUGAACCUCYUUYGUGCUUGGGAWAGGMGMUUGUAAUUGUCCGCCYUGAASGAGGAAUUCCYAGUAAGCACGAGUMAUCAGM
rnacentral:rRNA from 1 species